GACGAACGCUGGCGGCGUGCUUAACACAUGCAAGUCGAACGGACAGGCCCUGCUUUUGUUGGGUGCUCGAGUGGCGAACGGGUGUGUAACACGUGUGUAACCUGCCCCUAACUUUGUGAUAACUUUAGGAAACUGCGGCUAAUACACGGUAUGAGCUCCUGCUGCAUGUUGGGGGUUGGAAAGUUUCGGCGGUUUGGGAUGGACUCGCUGCUUAUCAGCUUGAUGGUCAGGUAGUUGCUUACGAAGGGUUUGACGGGUAGCCGGCCUGAGAGGUUGACCGGCGACAUGGGGACUAAGAGAGGGCCCAGACGGCUACGGGCGGCAGAAGUGGGGAAUAUUGCACAGUGAGCGGAAGCCUGAUGCAGCAACGCCGCGUGCGGGAUGAUGGGCUUCGGGUUGUAAACCGCUUUCGACUGUGACGAAGCGUGAGUGACGGUAAUGGGUAAAGAAGCAACGGCUAACUACGUG
rnacentral:rRNA from 1 species